rnacentral:rRNA from 1 species
GGCCUACGGGGGGCAGCAGUGGGGAAUUUUGGACAAUGGGGGCAACCCUGAUCCAGCCAUGCCGCGUGAGUGAAGAAGGCCUUCGGGUUGUAAAGCUCUUUCGGCCGGGAAGAAAUCGCAUCAGCUAAUACCUGGUGUGGAUGACGGUACCGGAAUAAGAAGCACCGGCUAACUACGUGCCAGCAGCCGCGGUAAUACGUAGGGUGCGAGCGUUAAUCGGAAUUACUGGGCGUAAAGCGUGCGCAGGCGGUUGGGUAAGACAGAUGUGAAAGCCCCGGGCUCAACCUGGGAACUGCAUUUGUGACUGCAUAGCUAGAGUACGGCAGAGGGGGAUGGAAUUCCGCGUGUAGCAGUGAAAUGCGUAGAUAUGCGGAGGAACACCGAUGGCGAAGGCAAUCCCCUGGGCCUGUACUGACGCUCAUGCACGAAAGCGUGGGGAGCAAACAGGAUUAGAUACCCCAGUAGUCAA